rnacentral:rRNA from 1 species
CCCUUAGAUGUUCUGGGCCGCACGCGCGCUACACUGACUGAUGCAACAAGUGUCUGACCUUGGCUCGAGAGGCCUGGGCAACCUUUGAACGCCAGUCGUGCUGGGGAUAGAUUCUUGCAAUUAUUAAUCUUCAACGAGGAAUUCCUAGUAAACGCAAGUCAUCAGCUUGCAUUGAUUACGUCCCUGCCCUUUGUACACACCGCCCGUCGCUGCCUCCGAUUGAAUGAUCCUGUGAAUAAUUCGGACUGCGGCAUUGACCGGUUCCCGAUCGUUGCUGCGGAAAGUUUAGUGAACCUUAUCACUUAGAGGAAGGAGAAGUCGUAACA